UACGGAGGGUGCGAGCGUUAUCCGGAAUUACUGGGUUUAAAGGGUGCGUAGGCGGCUAUGUAAGUCAGAUAGUGAAAGUUUGCGGCUCAACCGUAAAAUUGCUUUUGAUACUGCAUGGCUAGAAUCAGGAUGAGGUCAGCGGAAUGUGGCAUGUAGCGGUGAAAUGCAUAGAUAUGCCAUAGAACACCAAUUGCGAAGGCAGCUGGCUACACAAAUAUUGACACUGAGGCUCGAAAGCGUGGGGAUCAAACAGG
rnacentral:rRNA from 1 species